rnacentral:rRNA from 1 species
AUGCCAUUUAGCCUAUGCAAUGGGCCGGCAACUUUCCAGUGCUUGAUGAACACGGUGUUCGGCCGCUAUGUGCGUAAGUUCAUCAUCAUAUUUUUGGAUGACAUCUUGGUAUUCAGCACUGACCUGCAGGAACACGAGGAACACCUUCGCCUCAUGCUGCAACUUCUCCGCGAGCAUCAACUAUUCACCAAGGCCAGCAAGUGUUCGUUCGCACAAACAAGCAUUGAAUACCUUGGACAUGUGAUCUCACAAGAGGGAGUUGCUACGGACAACAGCAAGACCAGCGCCAUGUAG